rnacentral:rRNA from 1 species
AAUCAACGCUGGCGGCGUGCCUCAGACAUGCAAGUCGAACGCGAAAGGCUCCUUCGGGAGCCCGGUAGAGUGGCGCACGGGUGAGUAACACGUAGGUAAUUUGCCUUCGGGUGGGGAAGUAACUCAGGGAAACUUGAGCUAAUACCGCAUAAUGCAGCGGCUCGACAUCGAGACAGUUGUUAAAGCGGGGAGUCGCAAGACCUCCGCGCCUCGAAGAGAAGCCUGCGGCAGAUUAGCUAGUUGGUAGGGUAAGUAGGCCUACCAAGGCGACGAUCUGUAACCGGCC